rnacentral:rRNA from 1 species
AGAACGAACGCUGGCGGCAGGCUUAACACAUGCAAGUCGAACGGUUGUAGCAAUACAGCAGUGGCAGACGGGUGAGUAACACGUGGGAACCUUCCUAGGGGUACGGAACAACUCAGGGAAACUUGAGCUAAUACCGUAUACGUCCGUGAGGAGAAAGAUUUAUCGCCCCUAGACGGGCCCGCGUAGGAUUAGGUAGUUGGUGAGGUAACGGCUCACCAAGCCUACGAUCCUUAGCUGAUCUGAGAGGAUGAUCAGCCACACUGGGACUGAGACACGGCCCAGACUCCUACGGGAGGCAGCAGUGGGGAAUCUUGGACAAUGGGCGCAAGCCUGAUCCAGCCAUGCCGCGUGAGUGAAGAAGGCCUCGGUUGUAAAGACGUCUUUACCUAGGACGAGUAAUAGACGUACGUACGAGAAGUAAGACUACCGGCAAACGUUACGUGUCCGACGCACGCCGCGGUAAGUACGUUCGAGCGGACGUGGCGAAGGACGGCGACUAGA